GACGAACGCUGGCGGCGUGCCUAAUACAUGCAAGUAGGACGCAGUUGCGAACGGGUGAGUAACGCGUAGGUAACUGCCUAUUAGCGGGGUAUAACUCUUGGAAACGAUAGCUAAUACCGCAUACUAGUAGAUGGCUCUGCGUUGUAUUAGGUAGUAGGUAGGGUAAUGGCCUACCAAGGCAACGCUACAUAGCCGACCGUGAAGGGUGAUCGGCCAAAAUGGGACCGGGGCACGGCCCAGAAUCCUACGGGAGGGAGCCGUAGGGAAUCUUCGGCCAUGGGGGGAAACCUGAACGAGCAACGCCGGGGGAGGGAAGAAGGUUUUCGGAUCGGUAAACUCUGUUGGUAAGGAAGCGGUACUUAACCAGAAAGGGACGGCUAACUACGUGCCAGCAGCCGCGGUAAUAC
rnacentral:rRNA from 1 species